UGCUGGAGGUAUCAGAAGUGCGAAUGCUGACAUAAGUAACGAUAAAGCGGGUGAAAAGCCCGCUCGCCGGAAGACCAAGGGUUCCUGUCCAACGUUAAUCGGGGCAGGGUGAGUCGACCCCUAAGGCGAGGCCGAAAGGCGUAGUCGAUGGGAAACGGGUUAAUAUUCCCGUACUUGGUGUUACUGCGAAGGGGGGACGGAGAAGGCUAUGUUGGCCGGGCGACGGUUGUCCCGGUUUAAGCGUGUAGGUGUGUGUUCCAGGUAAAUCCGGUUCACUUUAACACUGAGGCGUGAUGACGAGGCACUACGGUGCUGAAGCAACAAAUGCCCUGCUUCCAGGAAAAGCCUCUAAGCAUCAGGUAACAUCAAAUCGUACCCCAAACCGACACAGGUGGUCAGGUAGAGAAUACCAAGGCGCUUGAGAGAACUCGGGUGAAGGAACUAGGCAAAAUGGUGCCGUAACUUCGGGAGAAGGCACGCUGACACGUAGGUGAAGUGAUUUACUCAUGGAGCUGAAGUCAGUCGAAGAUACCAGCUGGCUGCAACUGUUUAUUAAAAACACAGCACUGUGCAAACACGAAAGUGGACGUAUACGGUGUGACGCCUGCCCGGUGCCGGAAGGUUAAUUGAUGGGGUCAGCGCAAGCGAAGCUCCUGAUCGAAGCCCCGGUAAACGGCGGCCGUAACUAUAACGGUCCUAAGGUAGCGAAAUUCCUUGUCGGGUAAGUUCCGACCUGCACGAAUGGCGUAAUGAUGGCCAGGCUGUCUCCACCCGAGACUCAGUGAAAUUGAACUCGCUGUGAAGAUGCAGUGUACCCGCGGCAAGACGGAAAGACCCCGUGAACCUUUACUAUAGCUUGACACUGAACAUUGAGCCUUGAUGUGUAGGAUAGGUGGGAGGCUUUGAAGUGUGGACGCCAGUCUGCAUGGAGCCGACCUUGAAAUACCACCCUUUAAUGUUUGAUGUUCUAACGUGGACCCGUUACCCGGGUUGCGGACAGUGUCUGGUGGGUAGUUUGACUGGGGCGGUCUCCUCCUAAAGAGUAACGGAGGAGCACGAAGGUUGGCUAAUCCUGGUCGGACAUCAGGAGGUUAGUGCAAUGGCAUAAGCCAGCUUGACUGCGAGCGUGACGGCGCGAGCAGGUGCGAAAGCAGGUCAUAGUGAUCCGGUGGUUCUGAAUGGAAGGGCCAUCGCUCAACGGAUAAAAGGUACUCCGGGGAUAACAGGCUGAUACCGCCCAAGAGUUCAUAUCGACGGCGGUGUUUGGCACCUCGAUGUCGGCUCAUCACAUCCUGGGGCUGAAGUAGGUCCCAAGGGUAUGGCUGUUCGCCAUUUAAAGUGGUACGCGAGCUGGGUUUAGAACGUCGUGAGACAGUUCGGUCCCUAUCUGCCGUGGGCGCUGGAGAACUGAGGGGGGCUGCUCCUAGUACGAGAGGACCGGAGUGGACGCAUCACUGGUGUUCGGGUUGUCAUGCCAAUGGCACUGCCCGGUAGCUAAAUGCGGAAGAGAUAAGUGCUGAAAGCAUCUAAGCACGAAACUUGCCCCGAGAUGAGUUCUCCCUGAGACUUAGAGUCUCCUGAAGGAACGUUGAAGACGACGACGUUGAUAGGCCGGGUGUGUAAGCGCAGCGAUGCGUUGAGCUAACCGGUACUAAUGAACCGUGAGGCUUAACCUU
rnacentral:rRNA from 1 species